rnacentral:rRNA from 1 species
UCCGGAGGGUGCGAGCGUUGUCCGGAAUCACUGGGCGUAAAGGGCGCGUAGGCGGCUGGGGAAGUCGGCGGUGAAAGCCCGGAGCUCAACUCCGGGUCGGCCGUCGAGACUCCUCGGCUCGAGCUCACUAGAGGCAGAUGGAAUUCCGGGUGUAGCGGUGGAAUGCGUAGAGAUCCGGAAGAACACCGGUGGCGAAGGCGGUCUGCUGGGGUGAGGCUGACGCUGAGGCGCGACAGCGUGGGGAGCAAACAGG